AAAAUAGCUUUUUCAAAUUAAAUUGGAAUUAGAUGAGAAUUAGCUAAACAAAAAUGAUGAAAUAACUGCACUAACAUGAUGUGAUUAUUUGUCUGCAGUCUGUGGUUCAGUCUGAGCAGACAUGUGGCCACUCAAGGCAUCAGGUAGUGGUUGAGUAUCAGGCUUAUGCUGAAAGAGACCUUCCUACCUCUGCUACUGAUUUUAGAGUCAUUGUGGUAGUUAGUGACAAUUAAUCCCACUUUAUGAGACUUGCUUAAAAAGAACAGUUAAAUAACUGGGUACUCGUAAGUUUCUGGAAUCCUGAAAUAAAUAACAAAGCUUAAUUUUAGUCUUAAUAAUGUUUAUUAACAGAACAGAAAAAUCUGAUCCUUUCAUUACAUCAGCUGGAAUCGAAGGAUAUUCCAUGUUUUCAGCAGCCCUGUAAUACAACAACGUGAAAUAUCCUGCUCUGACAGGCUACGUCAUGGGUCUGAUACUUAAAGAGUAUUCCUAGAGCCUAAAUCUUUGCCCAGUUUUACCUAAAAAACAACUCAACUUAUUCUUUUUAGGUUCUCAACUCAGAAAAAAAAAAAAUCAUGAGAUCAACUGACAAAUAAUUCACAAGCACAUCUUUAAUUUUUGCUCAAAAUUCAUACUAUUAAUUUACAGCAAAAGGAUAUAGUGUUACCUGCUGAUACAAAAAAAUAAAUUACUUACAGGUGUGAGAAACAGGGCCACAGCAAAAUGUUUCAAGAUUUCCUGCAACAAUGCACUACGUCUAUAAGAAUAGCUUGGAUUAUUAUCUAAACUAAGCAGAUACAUUAAAUCUGCAAAUCUGGGGUGAAGAUCUCAGAAGAACUUCUUCUUUUCUGGGGGGUUUGGUUUUUUUUUCCUAAUAGAUUCAGCUUCUGGUUAUGCUUGAAACAUCACAAAUAGCCAUGUUCUGCAGUUUACUGUUUCUGUCUUGUGCCCCAGCUGGCACCUGGCAGUGUCUGUAAAUGAAAAGUAAUGAGGAAUGAAAAGAAUGAGGGGAGAAUUAAAUGGUUUAGUUCUAGUUUGGGGAGAAUGGUUGGUUGCAAGUGUUUGUGUCCUUUUCGUAAAAGGCUUUCCAGCCUUUAAUUAGAAAGGCACGUAAGCAUCAGUUAUUUUUCUUCCUGUAUUUAUUGUUUGUUAAAGAUAGGACCUGCCCCCAAAAAUCUAACUGUAGAUUUAGAGCUGAAUAUUGCUUAUUGCUCAUCUCUGACAUGAAUAUAUCUUUACAGUAGCAAAAUUAUGGCUUUAUUUUGAAAAAAGGUGUUUCAUUUUUCAUGUGACUGAUUUUAUUUUAUAUUGUCACUUUGGUCUCUAAAAAAGUCCACACACACACACAAAUAAAACCCACCCCAAAAUUCAUAACUACGAGUACCCAGAACAGUUUGCUUUUCAUUUGAUCAUAUGUAGGUGAAUUGGUUAGACUAUCACAGGUGUUCCACAUGCACUGAAUAAGGCUAGAGUUUAAAAGAGCAUUUUAAUACAUAUUUCCAUUUUAUAAAAAAGAUGCAUUUAAAUUAGAAAUAAUCACACGUGCCGCUACUGGUGUGAUCAAUUAUUUUUCAAAUGCCGAUGGACUGAAAUCAGAACAUUCCUAUUUUUGCAUAAUCAAAUUUCCUAAAAAUCUCUGCCUCUUCUUCCUCAUUCUUUUUCUAGAGCUAUUUCAUUUUCUAAUUACAAAUUGUGAUAAAUUAGGGAGUAGCUAAUAGGUAUUCGUGUGAAUUUUUUAAGGUACGUAGCUCUUGCAGGAACUGCUGGAAUACUUAGUUUGUUGCCUCCGGACAACUCAACUUGUAUCAAGCCUGUGAGAGUAAGCAGAUAACCAGAGCACUCUAUAGCAGCAUGUACAUUGAAAGACUACUACAGGCACAUGAAGGACAUGAAAGUGAAUGAAAAAGAAAACUGAGUGAAUUGAACACAGAAAGAUGAAGGCUUAAUUUUGAUUUGGUGUUCCAACAGAGUUUGGUCACAAUGCUGGAACUGCCUGCAGUGUUGAAACUCCAGAUUUCACUCAUCCUUUAAACAGAAAGCAAAAACAAUGGAAUUCUUAGGGUAUUUAAAAAUGUUCCAGUCAUAUCUUGUCUGGCCUGUUACAACCCUGAAGAUGGUUUUUGAUCAGGUUAAAUGGUUUUCUGAAACUAAAUUCACCAAAAGCAGAACUAAAACUUGAUUCCAUUACUCUUCAUGAACUUUUUCAACUGUUGACUUAGAAGAGCUUGGCCUCCAAAGACUAUCAGACAGCUCUCAGAAAGAUAAUCAAAUGGCAGAAACAUUUUCCAAGGUGAGAAAGGAGGCCACUAAAAACAAUACUUAUUUUCAAAUAAAGAGGUAUUUAUAGCAAUUUCUACCAAUGUGGGAACUCUUUCUCCCCCUCUUGAUAAUCUAAUGUUGUUUUCCAACACUGUUAUGACUGACACAAGCCGUAACAGUGUGGAAGGCUUUUUUGCAACAUUUUACGAUUGUCAGAUUUGCCUUCCAAAAGAAAAGCAUCUAUCACAUUAUAAUGUAGUGUGCAGUAUGUAGGUUUUGAAUGAUUCUGUAAAACAAAAAACUGUUUUGUUCUGGGAUCAACAUAUCACUAGGUACCUGCAGUGUCAUAUUAUGAUUUAAUACCUAGCUUUCUGCACAGCUGUAUGUGGUAUAGUUUUAAACUAAUGGUGAAAAAUGGUUAUACCAAGUUUGCUGGAAUGUUUUAUUUUUUCCAUGGCCAAGAAAAUUAAUUUAUUGGUUUAUUUGCUUGGCUACUGGUCAUUUAUUAUUUGACUUAAAAAAAAAAAAAGGCAAAUCUUUAGAUCCAAUUUCUAUUACUAGCUUCUGCUGAAUAACUGACGGUCACAGGCAUAAGACUGUCAUUUGUGAUUGCUAUAGCUGGCAAAUGCUCUUACUAUAGACAGUUAUUCUGGCAACACCACAAUGUCACUAGAAGACGUUAUUUUAUUUGGAAGAGUGUACAUAUGAGGCAGUGGUGGAAUAAGCUAUGGCAGUGACUGAACAACUUUGCCAGCACAAGUAGAAUGAAACUAUAGGUACUAUAUAAGCAUAGCUGAUCUUGUGAACAGACUAUACUCUUACACUGCUACCUAUAUACAGAGAUUAAACCAAGGCUUUUCACCAUAGUUUCAAUAUUACACUGCAUCAUUUUAUCCACGUUGCCAUAUUUUCAUUUAAAACACAGAUAGAUCAGAGUCACACUUAAACACACUUUUCUAUAAAGAGCAUCAUAGGCAGGAAAUUCUGUAUGAGAAUAAUUUACUAUAUGGCAAUUUAGGUU